rnacentral:rRNA from 1 species
GCCUUGUGACAGAAAUGUUUAACGGCCGCGGUAUUUUAACCGCGCGAAGGUAGCGUAAUCACUUGUCUUUUAAAUGGAGACCUGUAUGAAUGGCAUAACGAGGGUUUAACUGUCUCCUUCCCNUAGUCAAUGAAAUUGACCUACCCGUGCAGAGGCGGGUAUGACAACAUAAGACGAGAAGACCCUAUGGAGCUUUAGGCAAAUGAUCAAGAACACCAAGCCACGGUUUCAGCUGACACCUAAGAAAAAUAACCCCUAUGAUCACUAUGCCUUCGGUUGGGGCGACCAUGGAGGAGAGAAAAGCCUCCAAGUGGAACGGGAACACCCUUCAACUAAGAAAAACAACUCUAAGUAACAGAAAUUCUGACCAAAUGUGACCCAGGUACAAACCUGAUCAACGAACCGAGUUACCCUAGGGAUAACAGCGCAAUCCCUUCCCAGAGUCCAUAUCGACGAGGGGGUUUACGACCUCGAUGUUGGAUCAGGACAUCCUAAUGGUGCAGCCGCUAUUAAGGGUUCGUUUGUUCAACG